GAUGAACGCUGGCGGCGUGCCUAAUACAUGCAAGUCGAGCGAACAGACGAGGAGCUUGCUCCUCUGACGUUAGCGGCGGACGGGUGAGUAACACGUGGAUAACCUACCUAUAAGACUGGGAUAACUUCGGGAAACCGGAGCUAAUACCGGAUAAUAUAUUGAACCGCAUGGUUCAAUAGUGAAAGACGGUUUUGCUGUCACUUAUAGAUGGAUCCGCGCCGCAUUAGCUAGUUGGUAAGGUAACGGCUUACCAAGGCAACGAUGCGUAGCCGACCUGAAAGGGUGAUCGGCCACACUGGAACUGAGACACGGUCCAGACUCCUACGGGAGGCAGCAGUAGGGAAUCUUCCACAAUGGGCGAAAGCCUGACGGAGCAACGCCGCGUGAGUGAUGAAGGUCUUCGGAUCGUAAAACUCUGUUAUUAGGGAAGAACAAAUGUGUAAGUAACUAUGCACGUCUUGACGGUACCUAAUCAGAAAGCCACGGCUAACUACG
rnacentral:rRNA from 1 species